rnacentral:rRNA from 1 species
CCCUUAGAGUUUGAUCCUGGCUCAGGACGAACGCUGGCGGCGCGCCUAACACAUGCAAGUCGAACGAGCGAGAGAGAGCUUGCUUUCUCGAGCGAGUGGCGAACGGGUGAGUAACGCGUGAGGAACCUGCCUCAAAGAGGGGGACAACAGUUGGAAACGACUGCUAAUACCGCAUAAGCCCACGGCUCGGCAUCGAGCAGAGGGAAAAGGAGCAAUCCGCUUUGAGAUGGCCUCGCGUCCGAUUAGCUAGUUGGUGAGGUAACGGCCCACCAAGGCGACGAUCGGUAGCCGGACUGAGAGGUUGAACGGCCACAUUGGGACUGAGACACGGCCCAGACUCCUACGGGAGGCAGCAGUGGGGAAUAUGGCACAAUGGGGGAAACCCUGAUGCAGCGACGCCGCGUGGAGGAAGAAGGUCUUCGGAUUGUAAACUCCUGUUGUUGGGGAAGAUAAAACGGUACCCAACAAGGAAGUGACGGCUACU